ACGUGCGGGAUUAAAGUGCAGAAAUGCAGACGUUGUAAUGGAGGAAUUUAGAAAUCUGAAAUACAGAAAUCAGAGCGUAGCGUGCACCCGGCUCUGCCAGCCCGCUGCUGUCCUCUCUGCUGCUGGUGCUCCAAUACAUCGCUGUUAAAAGCCCGUGUGCACGCAGGAUUAGUAAGAGCAGCUGUUAACCUGAAAACCAAAAGCGAAGUUGAUUUAUAGCCACGGUUACUCAAAAUGCUCAGACUUUAAUCUAUUCAUAGGGAUGCUCUGGAAGUCCCGCGGGAUUCGGGUGCAGUGAGAAGGAGCGAUCCUGCUGGGCGGGCAGCAUUAUACACCUUGCUCGCACAGCUACAGUUCUCCCAUGCGGCUCAAAGCUGUGGGUGGCAGCACGGUGGUAAAAAGAUAACAAUACUGAACAGCUUUCUUCAAUUAGCAUCAUCCUUGUGCUUUUGAUUGUUAAAACUCCUUGUUUUGCUUCGCCUUCCAGGCCUGGAUAACCCUGUGGUUAACACCUUAUGAGCAAGAUGACAGAUGCCAACACAAAGCAUUACUCCAUUGAAAAGAUUUGUCCAAAAUUGAGCUGGCAGCUUCAGGGAACUUUGGUGAAUGUGCAAAACGUUUUGCUAGUGCCCAGCCACAGAACUAAGAGAGGACAUUGAGGAGUUCUGCAGGAGGCAGCAGUGUGUGCAGAGAUUGAUCCCAAUGGAGCUCAGAGAUGGGCCUUAAAUUGGCACCACAGCAGCAGAGGUGCAGCAGGUGGCGAAGAUGAAGGUCCCAAGCACACCUUGAAAUGAACGCGAGUGAGCUACAGGUGAUUUGCACACAGCUGUACCUGGAAAAGGCUCAGUUUGUUACCUCUGGCAUUCUCUCCUGAUCUCUCAGCCUCCCCACUAAAACCAUUAGACACAUUGGAAGCCUGGAUGUUUUCCUCUCCACUGACACACUCCACGUGAGGCUCAAGGUGAUUUUGUCUUCAGGAUGAGCCCAGCAGCUGCAGCCCCAGCUGGAAGCGAAGUCAGAAGCUCCACACGUAGACUCAGCACUUCCAAUCCUCUGCAUGGACACCACCGGCCCCAGGACUGUGUGCUUCCACCAGGCACAUGCAUGUCUGACAGUGAUGUCUCCUUCCUUGGUUCCAAGGCCACAUUUUUGCUGAAGGUUGGGAAGGAUGGAAAACAGCUCCGUGGAUUCCAUGCCCUCCCCCAGCCCACCCAAGGGCUGCAUUCUGCCAAAGCAUCACAUCACAGCACCUCUGCAGGGGGCUCCUCAGGUGUUCUUACUGGGACAGUCACAGCACUGAAUGCAUGAGAAUCUGACCCCAGAGCUCAACUCCGUGUAGGAAUGCAGGAAAUCAGUUCCCCCUGCCGAAGUACUGCAGUGCUAAGACAAUGUGGGUAAUGGCAGCAGAAGCGUUGAGAUCCGUGUCCUGACUCCCAGGGUGGGUCUCCUUCUCAUGUCUGAGGUUAACCUGGCACAGUUUCUAACACGUUCCUUGUUGGAUGCUUGGGAUACACAGACCUGCGUGGGAGCUGACAUUUUGGAGAUGUUACCGUGGCUCGGAGCCCCGCAUCCGGGCUGGCUCAUAGUAAGCGUUCCGCAGGAGCACUAUUUGUGCCGUGGCCCUGCAGGAACUGCACUCACACACUGCUCUGUGAAAUAGCAGCAUCUAAGAACAUCUCCAGCUGCAAAGUCCCAAGGGAGAAUUCCUUUCCAGACCCAGAGAUUCACUUCUUCAGAUGAAGCAUUUGGAUUCCUCCUCUCGCUUACAGCUAGCACAGCUGCAAACACCAUCAGAGAUCCCUAAUCCUCUUAGCCGCUCCUGCCGCAUGACUCCAAAUACUGCAGAGGGAAGCGCCUCUGCCUGCAUUGCCACCCAGCUGCUCGCAAACCUCAGCACCAAUGCAGCGCCUCAGUCCUCACUACCCAUGCCUUGGGACCAGCACUGCACUGCUCCCUGCACCAAGGCUACAGGAAUGCAGUGCUAAGGCGGGGAGGCCAGAAGCCCCCAGGGCUUCUCUCAGGUCCCCGGGCACAGGCAGGAUACAGCUGGGAUUUUUUCUUCACUUCUGGAAGGCUGGAGCAUAAUUGAAAGCUGGCAAAGAGGACUGCAUGGGAAAAACCCUCUUUGCUUCCUGUUUGCAGAGAUCUGAUUUUAUAUACUGAAUGGGUUUAGUGUGGUUUUGGGUUUACAGAACUCAGAAACAAUUGUGAGUUGCUUUGGAGCUUUACCCACAACUGCACAGGAGUCUCCUCUAGAGAGGAAUAAACCACCGAGGUGGGUUUGUUUCCACGUGCUCAACCUCUCUGCACUACAGGGCAUUUAUCCACCCAACAGCCAGACAUCAAUGGACACCAGUAAAUCACAUGGAGGCGGUCAAAAGGGAAGCAGAGGCACACAGACUGCUGUCAGUGGUAUCACCUACCCCAGGGCCAGCACCAGCCCUGCUCCAGCCAUCUAGCCAAGCCUCUGGGAGCUUUAGAGGAACUGUUGGCCCUGAAAUGGGUUCAACUGGGACCGAUUUCCUGGCAGAGAAGCACACAUUGUUUUCUCACAGGUGUUUGAUGUUUCUGACCAGUGUGACCCCCCCAGUUCUCUGCAAGAAGGUGGAAGGAAAACACGUGAGCGUCUCAAGGUUUGUUGUCUAACACAAUUAACCAAUUACUUCCAGGUCAAGACAGGGCAAAGCUAUAAACACAGCUUGCUGCUAUAAAUAUGUUUGCUCAAGGGUGGUGCAGGAGUAGGAAGGGUUAGGUGCAGGGCUGUCACUUAGGCUUUAAAAGAAAGCAAAUAGCAAGGAGUGCUUCCUGCAAAGCAGUCACUGUAAGGACUGUGUGGUCCCUUGGAGGCUCCCAGGUGCUGCUGGAGUUGUCACUGAACACAAAGCAGCAUGAGCAGCAAUGCUCUCUGCUACCCAGAGGGGUCUGGGUCUACAUGGUUUUGUUUGCUGUUUGUUCCUGGUCCUUGUGAUUGCUCUGAUGCAGUUGGUGUCAAGCAGUGUGCAGAGCUGCCUCAUGACACAGGAGAUGGGUGCAGAACUUCAGCCUGGAGGAGACAUGAGUACACGAGUACUGCUCCCCUGCUGCAAAACUCCCUCUAGGCACUGCAGCAUAGGGCCUGUUUCAGACGGGUUUGCCUUGAAAACACUGUUAUUAGACCAAAAUGCCCACUUAAAUAAAAGGAGGGGGGAAAAAAGCAUAGGAGAGAUCAGUGUAACUCUCAGCUAAGACGAGAAUGGACAUGUUGGUUGGUGCAGAUCAAGGCAGGAAUUUUCCACAGGGCCUUAAGGGAUUUCAGCUCUGAUGGAAAGACAAAGGGACUGGAGAGUGGUGCUGCUCCCCUUUGAAGGGACCUGUAGCACUGCAUGUAUGCUGUGCUCAAGUGGACAGAUAGACAGACACAUCUGCUCUGCAAGUGCUCCUGCAUGUUUUCAUAGGGCACAAACCACGGAGAUACUCCCUUAUCCAGGACCUCAGCUCCUAAAAGAGCAGAGCCAGCAUCACUGAGGGGAUUAAUUGGUGUUAAGAGAUGUGUUAGUCCCAAAGUGCAAAUGAGCCUGCUGGAAAAAUAAAUGAGUCUCUGGAGCUGUGCACAGCAAAGCGUUGGCAGCCAGGCCCAUCACCCCAACCCCAUCACCCACAUCCAGCUGGGCUGCACCAGAAUGGGCUCAGCAGCAUGCUGCCCCAAAAGUGCUUACAAAAAUCCACCAGCAGGGAGAGCAGUGGGUGCUGCCUUUCCCAGCACAUUGCUGCUCCUUUUUGCAGUGUCAGUCCAAACGACCCAAAGCCACCAUUGCACGUGCUGCAUUGGAAACACAAAACAUUUCAGCCUGUAGCUCACUUUGGCCCUGCACCACAAAGGGACACUGAAAAGCAUGCUGACUUGUCACCACCCUGCUCACUCAGGAACAGCUGCUGGAGUGAAUCACUUCAGCAUCCUCCAAACAAGGGCUCUGCCAAGCUUCGUGCAACUUCUGGUUCUCACUCCAACAGCAGCAGAGGAGAUGGUAUAACCCCUUUGCUGUUGAGUGUUAGAGAGUUUUCCUUCAUGGUUUUAGAAAUACGCAUAUAACAUCUAUUUUCAGGCUCUUAAUCAUAGCAGAGGCAUAGCCAACCUCAGCUGCUCAGUGCUGGGGGGAAGCUUUGUGCUAUAGCACCCUCUGACUGUGAUGCUAUUGAGUCAUCAGCUGCAAAUCUGACCAGAUGUUGGAGCUGCAGAUGCCAGAACUCUACAAUGGGCUGAAAAGGUGUGAGAGCCGAUGCUGCCUCCUGGCACUUGGGUGUCCAGGCAGUGGCUGAGGGCACAGAGCAGUCUCCUCCUCUCACCACAGCCCUGCAUGCCUCACAUCAUACCAGCUCUGCUUCUGCCCCACAGCCAGCACAGGCUGAAUGCAGGGAGCCACACCUGGCAAGGUUUUAGGAGAAGUGACUCCUCAAGGUCUGGAGAUGCAGUAACAUAAUGCAGAAGUAUUCAACAACCCUUACUUUCCCUGUGUAAGUCACCCACUGCCAAGCUGGAGGUAACAACAGUGCCUUACCUGCUCCUGUCAGCUCAGCUGAACUGAACUUCCAGCCCAAAUGUGACAAGAAGCCUGUUUGGACAGCUAUGCCUUCAAGUAAAGGCUUCCAAAGAACAAGCCACGCAUUUUGUCACUUUCCCUGCCAUCUCAUCCUCCACUCCCAGCUAACACACAAACACACUGCAGGCUCUUUUAACUUCCAAUCACUUCCGAGAUCUGCUACAGCAUCUUCAUGUUCUACACAAGGCAAGCAUUCAGCAAAAGCUUGGACGAUCUUGAGAUGGUGUAAAAAUAUAUCUAGAAUAUUUUACAGAAGGCAGAGGCCCAGUUGGACAAUCCAUGUACUAAAAAAAGUUAGUGUACAUUCAUGCUAUGAAGUUAGAAAAGGUCAAAGUUCCAGAUGGUUGGGGCAGAUCUUCAAACCAAAGCAGUGGCUGCAAUGAAUGCACUAACAAGCGCUGUGUAUUUCUAAGUGAGGAAGCUUAACAUUUCCAGUCAAUAAAGUCAGGAAGCAGAUUAUAAAGACUCA